rnacentral:rRNA from 1 species
GACGAACGCUGGCGGCGUGCUUAACACAUGCAAGUCGAACGGAAAGGCCCUUCGGGGUACUCGAGUGGCGAACGGGUGAGUAACACGUGGGUGAUCUGCCCUGCACUUUGGGAUAAGCCUGGGAAACUGGGUCUAAUACCGAAUAGGACCACGCGCUUCAUGGUGUGUGGUGGAAAGCUUUUGCGGUGUGGGAUGGGCCCGCGGCCUAUCAGCUUGUUGGUGGGGUAAUGGCCUACCAAGGCGACGACGGGUAGCCGGCCUGAGAGGGUGACCGGCCACACUGGGACUGAGAUACGGCCCAGACUCCUACGGGAGGCAGCAGUGGGGAAUAUUGCACAAUGGGCGCAAGCCUGAUGCAGCGACGCCGCGUGAGGGAUGACGGCCUUCGGGUUGUAAACCUCUUUCAAUAGGGACGAAGCGCAAGUGACGGUACCUAUAGAAGAAGCACCGGCCACCUACGUGCCAGCAGCCGCGGUAAUACGUAGGGUGCGAGCGUUGUCCGGAAUUACUGGGCGUAAAGAGCUCGUAGGUGGUUUGUCGCGUUGUUCGUGAAAACUCACAGCUUAACUGUGGGCGUGCGGGCGAUACGGGCAGACUAGAGUACUGCAGGGGAGACUGGAAUUCCUGGUGUAGCGGUGGAAUGCGCAGAUAUCAGGAGGAACACCGGUGGCGAAGGCGGGUCUCUGGGCAGUAACUGACGCUGAGGAGCGAAAGCGUGGGGAGCGAACAGGAUUAGAUACCCUGGUAGUCCACGCCGUAAACGGUGGGUACUAGGUGUGGGUUCCUUCCUUGGGAUCCGUGCCGUAGCUAACGCAUUAAGUACCCCGCCUGGGGAGUACGGCCGCAAGGCUAAAACUCAAAGGAAUUGACGGGGGCCCGCACAAGCGGCGGAGCAUGUGGAUUAAUUCGAUGCAACGCGAAGAACCUUACCUGGGUUUGACAUGCACAGGACGCCGGCAGAGAUGUCGGUUCCCUUGUGGCCUGUGUGCAGGUGGUGCAUGGCUGUCGUCGGCUCGUGUCGUGAGAUGUUGGGUUAAGUCCCGCAACGAGCGCAACCCUUGUCCUAUGUUGCCAGCGGGUUAUGCCGGGGACUCGUAGGAGACUGCCGGGGUCAACUCGGAGGAAGGUGGGGAUGACGUCAAGUCAUCAUGCCCCUUAUGUCCAGGGCUUCACACAUGCUACAAUGGCCGGUACAAAGGGCUGCGAUGCCGUGAGGUGGAGCGAAUCCUUUCAAAGCCGGUCUCAGUUCGGAUCGGGGUCUGCAACUCGACCCCGUGAAGUCGGAGUCGCUAGUAAUCGCAGAUCAGCAACGCUGCGGUGAAUACGUUCCCGGGCCU